GAUCAAUGGAAUUAUUAGGAGGGGUUGGCCUGUUUUAAGAGAUGUAUAGCUGAGACCAUUGGAGUUGUGCUUCAGAUGAAUGAAAUCAGUAUGUGCCUUUUCGGGCUGAGCAACUCGAUUUUGUGGGUUUUUUAACCUUAGAUGAGCUUAGCAUAGAUUUGAUUGUUUGGAUGGUUAAUUAAGUCGAAUGUUAUAGUAAUUCGCAGAGUAAAGCCUACGUUUUCGAUGUAUUAAUUGUUCAAUCUAUUUCGUAAGCAUAAAAAUAGCUCAUCAAAAGCUUUUCUUGUUUUGUUUUAUUUUCAGUGUAAUUCUCUUGCUAUUCAUGUCAAAAGGUUAGUUAUUCUUAUUGAUGUGAAGUCAAAUUUAAGUAAAUUUACUUUAUCAGUUUAGGGUUUUAAUAUGCAUGCUAUUAGUUCAGUGUGUUGGGAAAUUGUAUCCAAGAAUAUUCUGAAAUUACACGACAAUGACAUAAAUGCUUGGGACAAGUUGUUGUUGAGGCAUUAAAUUCUAUGUUUUUAGGGUCUGUCUCAAUAAUUAUGUAGACCAGGGUCGUUUGAUGCAAUAACCUCACUUCAGUUCACAGGCAAAAAAUUCCUCCAUUGGAAUAGUCAUUCUUUUUUCCUUUAUAACCCUUCCUAUACCUUUUUCUCAUUCUCUUAGUACUCAAAGCUUCCAACAUUCUGCCAGUUAGGCUCUUAAUUGAAACUACCAUUCAGGUAAAUGCAAUUCAACCCCUGAAAGCAACCCUUGAGCAGCUUGUCUGGCUCGGUGUUGCAUGUAUGUCCAGCUUGUACUUGCUGUGAACGGAAUGAGGAUCCUGGCCUGUCCUUUAGCAUUCUGAUAUCUGAGAUCAGAGUUUCAUAUUUCCAGUGUCUCACUUGAUUGCUUCCUUGUUGCAG
rnacentral:lncRNA from 1 species